GACCCGAUGUGGAUUAAUUGCUGGAUUCUACUCAUUUUUAGUGUUUGGCAUAUAUUUCAGGGAGUAGAACGAAAAUAUGAUAACAAGUGCCAAUUUGAUAGAAAAGAAGUCUAAGGCACAGAGCUUAUCCCAGGGGCAUUGUUGGCAAAGGCAAACUUGUGCCCAUUUUAGUAAUUGCCGAAGACAAAAGCAUUAAAAAGAGGAACGAAGGGCUGAAGUCGAGGGUCUUCUUCUUCCUCUCCGGAAGGGGAGCCGCCGCACAGCAGGGAGCUGCUUCCUUUCCCUUGGGGGAGCCGCCGCACAAGGCAAGAGCAGCAGAGGACUGAAGACGGCUGUGCUUUAUUGUUUUGACCGGCCAAAAAUUGACAGGUUGUCGAAGCCUGUGCAAUAAUAGAACCUGCUCAAACUAAAAGUGAUUUCUGUAGAUAGUGGUAAGCAGGGUCGAAUCCACAGGGACUGGGAGCAAUUGUUCCUUUUCAAAUUCACAGUGACAAAGGGGGUGUUUUUAUCUCAGGGGUGACAAUUUAAGCAAUCCAACUAAAAGUAAAAUAAUAAAAAUAAAAUAGCCAACUAGAAAUUAAAUAACAAUUUACUAAAAUCAAAGGAUCUAGCCAAGGAAUAACUUCAGCAAUGGUUCACCUAAUUGAUCAUCGAUAAACAAAGGCAAUCCCAAUUAUUUACUAAUAAAUAGGUUAUAACUGCCAAACAAGCGAUGACAGUCAACCCCUCCUUACUGUGUCGAUGAUUAAGGUACGCCCGUUAAUCACUGCUCUAAUUGAGAAAUAAUCCUAGGUACGCCCGUAGAAUUUAAUUCCCCAAUUGCCUUACGUAUUAGAGGAGCCCUAUUCUAACCAAAUAACGCACUACCAGGGUUAUUUUAGAUUAGCCCGCGUAUUCCCCUGACACAAAUCCAAUCAUGCCAGUUAUCACUAUUUUGAGACAAUUAAACAAUUACGGAUUUAACACCUCAAUUGAUAAUAGAUUAUUAAUUUAACUAAUUAUCCGGAUCCAAGACAAUCAAUUAAUUAAACAACCAUAAGCACUGCAAUCAGGGAAUAUGCAAAUACUAAUAAAUAAAGAAAAAGAUAAAAUUAAAUCGAUCUCACAAUUUUUAGGCGACCCAAAGCAUCCGUUGCUCCUUAACUAGAAAAAGGGAUUUAGCUCAUUAUUGAUGAGGAAAACCCAUGCGAAAUCGAUGAACAAAAUCCACGCAAGAGUGAAGCAAGAAUCGCGGCCAUUGUCAGGGAGCAAUACUACUCAGAGCCACGACGGAAAAGUCAAAGAGCACAAAGCAAAGAAAAAGGAAUAGUCCAAUACUUUUCUUUUGCUCCUGACAUUCACGAAGGAAGAAAACAACUACUAAGAGUCUUUACUACAACCGAAGAAGAAAAGUCAAAAGACUAAGAGCUAACUACUGAAGAUUGGGUUUCCCUCUGUACCAUUCGUUCCUCUCUAAUCAUCUCUAAGGCCUUCCUGUGCGGCGGCCCCUUGCGGAGAGGACCUCCUGUGCGGCGCUCCCCCUCGGGAGAGGAAGAAGAAGACCCCUGCCUUCAGCCCUUCGUUGCUCCUUUUAAUGCUUUUGUCUUCGGCAAUUACUAAAAUGGGCAUAAGCUUGCCUUUGCCAACAAUGCCCCUGG
rnacentral:lncRNA from 1 species